rnacentral:rRNA from 1 species
UACAGAGGGGGCAAGCGUUGUUCGGAAUUACUGGGCGUAAAGGGCGCGUAGGCGGCCUUCUAAGUCGAACGUGAAAUCCCCGGGCUCAACCCGGGAACUGCGUCCGAUACUGGAAGGCUUGAAUACGGGAGAGGGAUGCGGAAUUCCAGGUGUAGCGGUGAAAUGCGUAGAUAUCGUAAGGAAGGCCGGUGGCGAAAGCGAGCCUCUGGACAGUUACUGACGCUGAUGCACGA